rnacentral:sRNA from 1 species
UGACCAUCUUUCCCAUCAAAGGGAAGAUACAUGGCCAUACGGACAGCCGGGUCAAAUGCCGA